rnacentral:misc_RNA from 1 species
GAUGAAGAACGCAGCGAAAUGCGAUAAGUAAUGUGAAUUGCAGAAUUCAGUGAAUCAUCGAAUCUUUGAACGCACAUUGCGCCCGCCAGUAUUCUGGCGGGCAUGCCUGUUCGAGCGUCAUUUCAACCAUCAAGCCCCCGGGCUUGUGUUGGGGACCUGCGGCUGCCGCAGGCCCUGAAAAGCAGUGGCGGGCUCGCUGUCACACCGAGCGUAGUAAAUUUUAUCUCGCUCUGGGCGUGCUGCGGGUUCCGGCCGUUAAACCACCCUUUUAACCCAAGGUUGACCUCGGAUCAGGUAGGAAGACCCGCUGAACUUAAGCAUAUCAAUAAGCGGAGGA